UACGAAGGGGGCUAGCGUUGCUCGGAAUCACUGGGCGUAAAGGGUGCGUAGGCGGGUCUUUAAGUCAGGGGUGAAAUCCUGGAGCUCAACUCCAGAACUGCCUUUGAUACUGAGGAUCUUGAGUUCGGGAGAGGUGAGUGGAACUGCGAGUGUAGAGGUGAAAUUCGUAGAUAUUCGCAAGAACACCAGUGGCGAAGGCGGCUCACUGGCCCGGUACUGACGCUGAGGUGCGAAAGCGUGGGGAGCAAACAGGGAUUAAGAUACCCG
rnacentral:rRNA from 1 species